UUGGCUGCAGCAGCGCGCUGCCCCCACUGGCCGGCGCGCCGUGAUCGAUCGCAGGCUGCGUCAGGAGCCUCCCGGCGCAUAAAUAGGGGUGGCAGGACGGCGCUGAGCCGCACACAGCCAUCCAUCCUCCCCCUUUCCUGUCUCCCUUGUCCUCUCUCUCCGGGCUCCCACCGCCGCUGCGGGCCGGGGAGCCACCGGCCGCCACCAUGAGUUCCUUCAGCUACGAGCCCUACUACUCGACCUCCUACAAGCGGCGCUACGUGGAGACGCCCCGGGUGCACAUCUCCAGCGUGCGCAGCGGCUACAGCACCGCACGCUCAGCUUACUCCAGCUACUCGGCGCCGGUGUCUUCCUCGCUGUCCGUGCGCCGCAGCUACUCCUCCAGCUCUGGAUCGUUGAUGCCCAGCCUGGAGAACCUCGACCUGAGCCAAGUAGCCGCCAUCAGCAACGACCUCAAGUCCAUCCGCACGCAGGAGAAGGCGCAGCUCCAGGACCUCAAUGACCGCUUCGCCAGCUUCAUCGAGCGCGUGCACGAGCUGGAGCAGCAGAACAAGGUCCUGGAAGCCGAGCUGCUGGUGUUGCGCCAGAAGCACUCCGAGCCAUCCCGCUUCCGGGCGCUGUACGAGCAGGAGAUCCGCGACCUGCGCCUGGCGGCGGAAGAUGCCACCAACGAGAAGCAGGCGCUCCAGGGCGAGCGCGAAGGGCUGGAGGAGACCCUGCGCAACCUGCAGGCGCGCUAUGAAGAGGAGGUGCUGAGCCGCGAGGACGCCGAGGGCCGGCUGAUGGAAGCGCGCAAAGGCGCCGACGAGGCGGCGCUCGCUCGCGCCGAGCUCGAAAAGCGCAUCGACAGCUUGAUGGACGAAAUCUCUUUUCUGAAGAAAGUGCACGAAGAGGAGAUCGCCGAACUGCAGGCGCAGAUCCAGUACGCGCAGAUCUCCGUGGAGAUGGACGUGACCAAGCCCGACCUCUCCGCCGCGCUCAAGGACAUCCGCGCACAGUACGAGAAGCUGGCCGCCAAGAACAUGCAGAACGCCGAGGAGUGGUUCAAGAGCCGCUUCACCGUGCUGACCGAGAGCGCCGCCAAGAACACCGACGCCGUGCGCGCCAGAAACACAGCGGGGCGGGGGACUCGAGCAACGGGGAAGAGUUGGUGCGCCCAGAAAGUGGAGACCAGGGGUGGUGCGGCUGCACGCAGCUCUUAGGGAUAGGGCUUGAUUCCUUGGCCACUGUGUGGGAGGGGUGGGGCACUUGAAGGGCGUGAGUGCGGGCGCGACUGUAGUCUGGGAGUGUGCUCGGUGCUACUGCACCGGCGUUCCGCAUUAAAGCUGCCCAGCCCUUGUU
rnacentral:sRNA from 1 species